CAGGAAGCUACCAUCAAUUAAUAUCAUGAACACUAUAUUACAACCCGAUUGUCUUUCAUUAGGCGUUCUAUGUACAAACAAUACAGUCAAGGAGUUCUCAGCGGAGAGUACGGACUGGAGGAUGGGGAAUAGCUAUUCACAAGAAAUGAGCGGAACAACAACUAUAUUUAAAUCUUACAUAAGUUCACGCCACCUCAAGGUCAUCAAUAUCCAGCCAAUCAUUUGAUUCUUUGCUAUCAGGAUUUUCCUUAACAGAACUAAUCUGAUUGAUGGAGCUGGAAUCUCUAGACAAGUCGGUGGAGCUUUUCCUCAACUGGACCCAAUCUUGUGAGUCCUUAUCAGAGCUGUAAGCUGCGUUUUUUGAUUUUGCAGGCAUAUCUGAAUCAUCCUCUUCAAGAUCACUGAAAGACACAUCCUCAUCAUCCUCAAAAGACAUGGUGGUUUUACUGGUACCUGUAAUUUCCGUGUUUUCUUCCUUCAACCAAUCAUCAGCAUCCUCUUCGUCACUCUCCUCUAACUUAGUCGCUGAUGCAGAUUGCAAUUUUUCAUCUUUGCUUAGGGUAAUAGGUCCUUCUUCAGCCACAAGUCUAUCAACUGUUUGAUUUUCACUAAUGACAGGGUGCACAUCGGUACCAGAGCCGCCCACUACAGAUAAAGAGGAAACAUCCACACUAGACAUGUCUUGAACUGCAUCCGCGGAGAGCGGAGCAGAAGGGACAGUAAGCAUCUCCUCAUGUUGAGAACCACCCCCGUCAGUUGAUUUAAAAGUCUCCUCCUUUGACCAAUCUCCUUCUAUUGGCUUGGUUCGUUUUUGUAACUCUUGCGAUAAUGAGGCCCUGGCAUUGAAUACAUGCACUGCCUUACCUGGGGUGUGGAUAGAAGUUCAGCAUCUUGUUUAUUCAGUCUAGGGUGCAGAAGAACAAAGUAAAUCUCCCAAAAGCGAGCCUCACUCAUGUAGCCUGGGCAGAGCUCAAUCCUCAAAGCAGCCAGUCUUGGAGCAAGACGCUCAACAGCUAAUGCAUGCUCUUGUUGUGCAUCAGACAAGUCAAAAUCUACUUCGUCAUCUUCAUCCUCGAACAAAGGGAAAUCCAACCAUGUCUCAGGAUGCAUAGCAAUGUCCCUCACAAAAGCCACUACUUCCUCAGUAACACCAACUGCACCUCUACCUGAAUCAAACCUCUUAUCUUCUUCCUCCUCCGGUCCCAGUUGCAGUAAGUUGGACGCCAUUUUGGUGAUUUCCGACACGGGAAUAUUCUUCGAAAGCUUAGAUAUCCCACUCUUGAAUCUCCCCCCAAUUUCAGCAAUAUCACUCCGCAAACCCGCGAUCCCCGCAGAAUCGGACUCCUCGUCAUCCGAAUCUCGAGCUGGUUCUGAAGUCGGAUCCAGUAAAGAUUUGUCGGGCUCGGAUUGGGACGGUGGGGCCAGGAAAGAGGCCACUCCCCAAAACUGACGGGUUAGGGUUUUAGUGAGCUCUGAGAAGUCAUCCUUAACGCCGCGUGACGGUGAUACUGGCAAUGAAUCAUCCUCAUCUUUCUGUUGCUUCUCCGUAGUAGGUUUGCCAGUAGAGUGAUCGUGAUUGCUUGACACGGCGUCGUCUCUGUCAUCGUCGUCGUCUUCAAGUCUGAGAGUGCUGGCAAUAGAUCGAGCAAACCAGGACAUUGUUAGAUGGAGGUUUCACAGUUCACCGGCGAAGACUAAUUUGUCUAAGACAGUUGGGAACUUCGCAAUCGACAAG
rnacentral:misc_RNA from 1 species